rnacentral:rRNA from 1 species
GCCCAGAUGGGAUUAGCUAGUAGGUGGGGUAACGGCUCACCUAGGCGACGAUCCCUAGCUGGUCUGAGAGGAUGACCAGCCACACUGGAACUGAGACACGGUCCAGACUCCUACGGGAGGCAGCAGUGGGGAAUAUUGCACAAUGGGCGCAAGCCUGAUGCAGCCAUGCCGCGUGUAUGAAGAAGGCCUUCGGGUUGUAAAGUACUUUCAGCGGGGAGGAAGGGAGUAAAGUUAAUACCUUUGCUCAUUGACGUUACCCGCAGAAGAAGCACCGGCUAACUCCGUGCCAGCAGCCGCGGUAAUACGGAGGGUGCAAGCGUUAAUCGGAAUUACUGGGCGUAAAGCGCACGCAGGCGGUUUGUUAAGUCAGA